rnacentral:rRNA from 1 species
UACGUAGGCAGCAAGCGUUGUUCGGAGUUACUGGGCGUAAAGGGUGUGUAGGCGGUUCUUUAAGUUUGGUGUGAAAUCUCCCGGCUCAACCUGGGAAUUGCAUUCGAGACUGAAUAGCUAGGGUACGGUAGAGGGAAGUGGAAUUUCCGGUGUAGCGGUGAAAUGCGUAGAUAUCGGAAGGAACAUCAGUGGCGAAAGCGACUUCCUGGACCAGUACCGACGUUCAGGCACGAAAGCGUGGGGAGCAAACAGG